UACGAAGGGUGCAAGCGUUACUCGGAAUUACUGGGCGUAAAGCGUGCGUAGGUGGUUUGUUAAGUCUGUUGUGAAAGCCCCGGGCUCAACCUGGGAAUGGCAAUGGAUACUGGCAAGCUAGAGUGCGGUAGAGGGUAGUGGAAUUCCCGGUGUAGCGGUGAAAUGCGUAGAGAUCGGGAGGAACACCAGCGGCGAAGGCGGCUACCUGGACCAGCACUGACACUGAGGCACGAAAGCGUGGGGAGCAAACAGG
rnacentral:rRNA from 1 species